rnacentral:rRNA from 1 species
GAUUAACGCUAGCGGCAGGCCUAAUACAUGCAAGUCGAACGGUUAACAUGGGUAGCAAUAUCUGAUGACGAGUGGCGCACGGGUGCGUAACGCGUAAUGUAAUCUACCUCUAACUGGGGGAUAGCCUUCCGAAAAGGAAGAUUAAUACCGCAUAAUAUAAUGAAGAGGCAUCUUUUUGUUAUCAAAACUCUGGUGGUUAGAGAUGAACAUGCGUGACAUUAGCUAGUUGGUGAAGUAAUAGCUCACCAAGGCUACGAUGUCUAGGGGGUCUGAGAGGAUGAUCCCCCACACUGGUACUGAGACACGGACCAGACUCCUACGGGAGGCAGCAGUAAGGAAUAUUGGACAAUGGGGGCAACCCUGAUCCAGCCAUGCCGCGUGAAGGAUUAAGGCCCUAUGGGUUGUAAACUUCUUUUAUAAGGGAAAAAACCUCUCUACGUGUAGAGAGUUGAUGGUACUUUAUGAAUAAGGGUCGGCUAACUUCGUG